CUGUGUUUCCUGAAGUGGAGCUGAUCUCAUUAGAAGAAAACAUGAAAAACAGAAAACAUCUAAACUGGACUUCAUAAGUCUGAAGUACCCUAAAUCAGUGGCGGUUUUAAGAAAAGUACCCUUAUUACCUUGUUUCUUUGUACUCUUAUACAAAAUAAUUUUGUACCAGGCUGAACUCUGGAGAAUUGUACAGUUGUAGAGUCAUAAUUUUUGCUUUAUUCCCAUGUUGACUUAGGCUAUUCAUAAUAAUACUAACACUAUCUAGCUCUUUUCUGAAUCCUUAAUUGAGGAGUCUGAGAGAUCUUUAAAAAAAACAAAAGAAGAAAAAAGAAGAAGAAAAAAAAAGGUAAGCAUAUGUUUUCCUGAUUUUAAAGCUAUGGAAGCAGAGACAAAAUAGAGAAAAAUGAUUUUCUUGGUGUCACUCAGGAGGCCAGUGGCAGAAACAGGACAAACCUCAGAUUUGUUGAGAACCAAUAUAACAUGCUACCCAUUUUCCAGAGACUAAAAGCGUUCUCCCCUAUCAUGGGAUGAUAUCACAAACACUCUUCCUCAGGCUACUUGUCUACCAAACAUGCACAGAGACUUCACAAUGACCUUGGGGAAGUUUUGUAACUGUUCUGUGCCCUACUGAAAUGUGGAGACAAUGCUUGUAUGAGAUCUGCUAUACUGGCCAUCAUGUUGGCACCUGGGCAAUUUACAUAAAUUAAAGCAGUGUAUUAAGAAAAUAUGACUCCUUUGGGAAUAAAAGUG